AAAAAUAAAACAUGCUCUGUGCCCAUUUGUUUCAAUCCCCUGUUAAUGCCAAUUUCAAUCUACCAUGACAACAACCGUCACGCACUCUCCCGAUUGUCGCCCUGAAAUUUCAGUAUUCCCGCCCACUCGCGAUGGCCUGUCCUUCUGGCAGUUCAUGAUCGCCGGAUCAAUUGCAGGGUCUGUCGAGCACAUGGCCAUGUUUCCAGUGGACACACUCAAGACCCGAAUCCAAGCCCUUGCCGGAUCAUCCACCCUCCGACAAGCACUCGCUUCGAUUCUCAAAUCGGAAGGUCCGGCCGGGCUCUACCGUGGAAUCGGAGCAAUGGGUCUCGGAGCAGGACCUGCACACGCCGUAUACUUCUCUGUAUACGAAUUCUGCAAACAAAGAUUUUCGAUUGGGAAUCCCAACAACCCAUUAGCCCACGCCAUUUCUGGAGUCUGCGCAACGGUGGCGAGCGACGCCGCGUUGACGCCGAUGGAUGUGGUGAAACAGAGGCUGCAGUUGAAGAGCAGUCCUUAUAAGGGAGUGAGGGACUGUGCUAGGAGGAUUUUGGUUGAGGAAGGAAUUGGGGCGUUCUAUACUUCUUAUUGGACCACGGUUUUGAUGAAUGCCCCGUACACGGCUGCCCAUUUUGCCAUUUAUGAAGCUGUGAAAAGGGGAUUGAAGGAGGGCUCGCCGGGAAGCGAUGGCGGGGAGGGGUUGGUUGUCCAUGUUACGGCUGGUGCGGCUGCUGGGUCUCUUGCUGCUGGUCUUACAACGCCAUUAGACGUAGUGAAAACUCGGCUGCAGUGCCAGGGAGUGUGUGGGUGCGACAGAUUGUCAAGCAGCUCAAUAACAAAUGUGGUUAGGCAUGUGGUGAAGAAGGAUGGGAAGAGCGGGUUGAUGAGAGGGUGGAUUCCAAGGAUGCUGUUCCAUGCGCCUGCUGCUGCCAUUGCCUGGUCCACUUAUGAAGCCUCAAAGACAUUGUUCCAACACCUCCACAAUGACAACAAUUAGAAGCUGCAUGCAACCAUUUAAACCACUUCACUCAUUAGGAGAAGGACUGAAGAAAGAGGUGUCUAUGGUUGAAGGAGCAUGUAGGAGAGGUGUUGGGAGUGAGGGGGCGUGGUCUCGAUUGAGGAUGCACCGGAAUUCUCGCAUUUUCUGGCCAUUAGUUCUUGGAGAUUUCACGAUACAUGUCUUUGGUUGAUUUAGACGCAUUCUCCGGCCGACUGCUUGACACGUGCUUGCAACUUAUUCAUUGUCAGCUUGCACAAGCCUAGAAUC